rnacentral:rRNA from 1 species
AACGAACGCUGGCGGCAGGCUUAACACAUGCAAGUCGAACGCAUCGCAAGAUGAGUGGCAGACGGGUGAGUAACGCGUGGGAACAUACCCUUUUCUACGGAAUAGCUCUGGGAAACUAGAAUUAAUACCGUAUACGCCCUACGGGGGAAAGAUUUAUCGGGGAAGGAUUGGCCCGCGUUGGAUUAGCUAGUUGGUGGGGUAAAGGCCUACCAAGGCGACGAUCCAUAGCUGGUCUGAGAGGAUGAUCAGCCACAUUGGGACUGAGACACGGCCCAAACUCCUACGGGAGGCAGCAGUGGGGAAUAUUGGACAAUGGGCGCAAGCCUGAUCCAGCCAUGCCGCGUGAGUGAUGAAGGCCUUAGGGUUGUAAAGCUCUUUCACCGAUGAAGAUAAUGACGGUAGUCGGAGAAGAAGCCCCGGCUAACUUCGUGCCAGCCGCCGCUGUAAAAC